CUACGGGACGCUGCAGUGAGGAAUAUUGCACAAUGGGGGGAACCCUGAUGCAGCAACGCCGCGUGGAGGAUGACGCAUUUCGGUGUGUAAACUCCUUUUAUAUGUCAAGAAAAUGACGGUAGCAUAUGAAUAAGCACCGGCUAACUCCGUGCCAGCAGCCGCGGUAAUACGGAGGGUGCAAGCGUUACUCGGAAUCACUGGGCGUAAAGGACGCGUAGGCGGGUUGGAAGGUCAGGUGUGAAAUCCUACAGCUUAACUGUAGAACUGCACUUGAAACUUCUAAUCUAGAGUAUGGGAGGGGGAGAGGGAAUUAGUGGUGUAGGGGUAAAAUCCGUAGAUAUCACUAGGAAUACCUAAAGCGAAGGCGAUCUCCUGGAACAUUACUGACGCUAAGGCGUGAAAGCGUGGGGAGCAAACAGGAUUAGAUACCCCCGUAGUC
rnacentral:rRNA from 1 species